UACGUAGGUGGCGAGCGUUGUCCGGAUUUACUGGGCGUAAAGGGCGCGCAGGCGGUCGUUCAAGUCGCGUGUGAAAGCCCCCCGGCUCAACUGGGGAGGGUCACGCGAUACUGAUCGACUCGAAGGCAGGAGAGGGUAGUGGAAUUCCCGGUGUAGUGGUGAAAUGCGUAGAUAUCGGGAGGAACACCAGUGGCGAAGGCGACUACCUGGCCUGUUCUUGACGCUGAGGCGCGAAAGCUAGGGGAGCAAACGGG
rnacentral:rRNA from 1 species